GCCGAGAUGUGGUCGCAAUGACUGAAAUUACCUAAAACUAAGAAAGGGGACGGGACGUGGUCUCAAUGAUAGAAAUCACCUAAAACUGAGGAAGGAGACGGAAUGCGGUCGCAAUGACCGAAAUCACCUAUAACUCAAGGAAGGAUAAGACGCGGUCACAAUUAACGAAAUCACCUAAGAAACAAGGGAUGUGGUCACAAUGACCGAAAUCACCUAAAAUUUAAGAAGAAGAGGUGACU
rnacentral:lncRNA from 1 species